rnacentral:rRNA from 1 species
GAUGAACGCUGGCGGCGUGCCUAACACAUGCAAGUCGAACGAAGCACCUUGAUUUCCUCGGAUUGAUUGGUGACUGAGUGGCGGACGGGUGAGUAACGCGUGGGUAACCUGCCUCAUACAGGGGGAUAACAGUUAGAAAUGGCUGCUAAUACCGCAUAAGCGCACAGUACCGCAUGGUACCGUGUGAAAAACUCCGGUGGUAUGAGAUGGACCCGCGUCUGAUUAGCUAGUUGGUAAGGUAACGGCUUACCAAGGCGACGAUCAGUAGCCGGCCUGAGAGGGUGAUCGGCCACAUUGGGGCUGAGACACGGCCCAAACUCCUACGGGAGGCAGCAGUGGGGAAUAUUGCACAAUGGGGGAAACCCUGAUGCAGCAACGCCGCGUGAAGGAUGACGUAUUUCGGUAUGUAAACUUCUAUCAGCAAGGAAGAUGAUGACGGUACUUGACUAAGAAGCCCCGGCUAACUACGUG